CCUACGGGAUGCAGCAGUGGGGAAUAUUGCACAAUGGGCGAAAGCCUGACCCAGCAACGCCGCGUGAAGGAAGAAGGCUUUCGGGUUGUAAACUUCUUUUGUCAGGGAAGAGUAGAAGACGGUACCUGACGAAUAAGCCACGGCUAACUACGUGCCAGCAGCCGCGGUAAUACGUAGGUGGCAAGCGUUGUCCGGAUUUACUGGGUGUAAAGGGCGUGUAGCCGGGUUGACAAGUCAGAUGUGAAAUCCUGCGGCUUAACCGCAGAACUGCAUUUGAAACUGUUGAUCUUGAGUACUGGAGAGGCAGACGGAAUUCCUAGUGUAGCGGUGAAAUGCGUAGAUAUUAGGAGGAACACCAGUGGCGAAGGCGGUCUGCUGGACAGCAACUGACGGUGAGGCGCGAAAGCGUGGGGAGCAAACAGGAUUAGAUACCCUUGUAGUC
rnacentral:rRNA from 1 species